rnacentral:rRNA from 2 species
ACGGAAGGCAGCAGUGGGGAAUAUUGCACAAUGGGCGAAAGCCUGAUGCAGCGACGCCGCGUGAGUGAAGAAGUAUCUCGGUAUGUAAAGCUCUAUCAGCAGGGAAGAAAAUGACGGUACCUGACUAAGAAGCCCCGGCUAACUACGUGCCAGCAGCCGCGGUAAUACGUAGGGGGCAAGCGUUAUCCGGAUUUACUGGGUGUAAAGGGAGCGUAGACGGUUUGGCAAGUCUGAAGUGAAAUGCGGGGGCUCAACUCCUGAACUGCUUUGGAAACUGUCGAACUAGAGUGCAGGAGAGGUAAGUGGAAUUCCUAGUGUAGCGGUGAAAUGUGUAGAUAUUAGGAGGAACACCAGUGGCGAAGGCGGCUUACUGGACUGUAACUGACGUUGAGGCUCGAAAGCGUGGGGAGCAAACAGGAUUAGAUACCCUGGUA